AGACCAAGGGGACAUUCUCCCUUAGGAGAGCUGGAGUUUGCUAGCACUUUCUCUCCUCUGCCUAUCUAUAAUUUAAGUAUUCUGUUACUGAGUGCCCACCCUCCAGACAUCUUCAAGUAACUAAGUGAAGUAAAAUUCUGAUACUUAAUUUAUUAAGAUACUGCAUGGCUUUCUCUGAGUUACAGAGUGAUGCUAGGAAACUGCUCAACUCUCUAAAAGCUAGGACUAUGUCACAAACAAUUGCUUAAGAAACUCCUAUGAUGGACCAAGCUCCUGUGCCUGUCUGCCGUUGGAAGUUGCCAAAGAAAGAGUGGUAUUGUACUGAGUGGAUUAGAACUUCAAAUGCUGCAAAGAUACAAAAGUGCUUUACUGUAAAAUCCAAGACACAGGACAGCCCUAUUUUGUGGAAAAGAUACCUGAAACCCAGAAAUAUGAAUCUGUAAAGAACUGGCUUAGUGAUUCUAAACCACGA
ensembl:lncRNA